rnacentral:rRNA from 1 species
GACGAACGCUGGCGGCGUGCUUAACACAUGCAAGUCGAACGGAAAGGCCCUGCUUUUGUGGGGUGCUCGAGUGGCGAACGGGUGAGUAACACGUGAGUAACCUGCCCUUGACUUUGGGAUAACUUCAGGAAACUGGGGCUAAUACCGGAUAGGAGCUCCUGCUGCAUGGUGGGGGUUGGAAAGUUUCGGCGGUUGGGGCUGGACUCGCGGCUUAUCAGCUUGUUGGUGGGGUAGUGGCUUACCAAGGCUUUGACGGGUAGCCGGCCUGGGAGGGUGACCGGCCACAUUGGGACUGAGAUACGGCCCAGACUCCUACGGGAGGCAGCAGUGGGGAAUAUUGCACAAUGGGCGGAAGCCUGAUGCAGCAGCGCCGCGUGCGGGAUGACGGCCUUCGGGGUGUAAACCGCUUUCGCCUGUGACGAAGCGUGAGUGACGGUAAUGGGUAAAGAAGCACCGGCUAACUACGUG